rnacentral:rRNA from 1 species
UACGAAGGGGGCUAGCGUUGCUCGGAAUUACUGGGCGUAAAGGGCUCGUAGGUGGCCAACUAAGUCAGACGUGAAAUCCCUCAGCUUAACUGGGGAACUGCGUCUGAUACUGGAUGGCUUGAGUUUGGGAGAGGGAUGCGGAAUUCCAGGUGUAGCGGUGAAAUGCGUAGAUAUCGCUUGGAACGCCAAAGGUGAAAACAGGUCGCUGGGGAUGUGCCGACGCUGAGACACGAAAGCCAGGGGAGCAAACGGG